rnacentral:rRNA from 1 species
GGAAUUUUCCGCAAUGGGCGAAAGCCUGACGGAGCAACGCCGCGUGAGGGAUGAAGGCCUCUGGGCUGUAAACCUCUUUUCUCAAGGAAGAAGAUCUGACGGUACUUGAGGAAUAAGCCACGGCUAAUUCCGUGCCAGCAGCCGCGGUAAUACGGGAGUGGCAAGCGUUAUCCGGAAUUAUUGGGCGUAAAGCGUCCGCAGGCGGCCCAUCAAGUCUGCUGUUAAAAAGUGGAGCUUAACUCCAUCAUGGCAGUGGAAACUGUUGGGCUAGAGUGUGGUAGGGGCAGAGGGAAUUCCCGGUGUAGCGGUGAAAUGCGUAGAUAUCGGGAAGAACACCAGUGGCGAAGGCGCUCUGCUGGGCCAUAACUGACGCUCAUGGACGAAAGCCAGGGGAGUGAAAGGGAUUAGAUACCCCAGUAGUC